rnacentral:tRNA from 2 species
GCGGGUGUGGUUCAAUGGUAGAACUUCAGCUUCCCAAGCUGACGACGCGGGUUCGAUUCCCGUCGCCCGCUCCA